AAAUGUUAUGGAAGAGACUAAGACAAUGUUUGGAUUGAUGGAACAUAACGGAGCGGAGCGGAAUGAAACAUGACGGAGCAAAAUGGAAUAUAGAUCUCACUCCAUUGUUUGGUUACUUUAUUAAAAAUGUCUCAUUCCAUCACAUACACCCCAAAUUGGAUGGAACAGAAAAUAGAGAUUUGGAUGGAAUUUGAUGGAAUGGAUUCCAUCAUGUUCCAUUCCAUUCCAUCCAUUAUUUGCAAAUCCAAACA
rnacentral:lncRNA from 1 species